CAGCCAAGAAUUUAUGUUGGAAGAGGGAUGCAUGAAAGUCAAAUUGCACUCAUAAAGUAUACGAUUUUCUGGCUGUUGCUUUUCUGUUGCAAAUUUGCAUUCAGUUACUUUCUACAGGUGAAACUUUUGGUGAAGCCAACUAACGCAAUUAUGAGCAUUCGCCAUGUAAAAUACAAAUGGCAUGAGUUUUUCCCCAAUG